GAUGAACGCUGGCGGCGUGCUUAACACAUGCAAGUCGAACGAGAAGUGAAGACGGAAACCUUCGGGCGGAAGGCUUUAUUUCGAGUGGCGGACGGGUGAGUAACGCGUGGGUAACCUGCCUCAUACAGGGGGAUAACAGUUGGAAACGACUGUUAAUACCGCAUAAGACCACAGCACCGCAUGGUGCGGGGGUAAAAACUCCGGUGGUAUGAGAUGGACCCGCGUUCGAUUAGCCAGUUGGCGGGGUAACGGCCCACCAAAGCGACGAUCGAUAGCCGAUCUGAGAGGAUGACCGGCCACAUUGGGACUGAGACACGGCCCAAACUCCUACGGGAAGCAGCAGUGGGGAAUAUUGCACAAUGGGGGAAACCCUGAUGCAGCGACGCCGCGUGAGUGAAGAAGUAUUUCGGUAUGUAAAGCUCUAUCAGCAGGGAAGAAAAUGACGGUACCUGGGGAAGAAGCCCCGGCUAACUACGUG
rnacentral:rRNA from 1 species